GGGCUCGUAGAUCAGUUGGCAGAUCGCCACCCUUGCAAGGUGGAGGCCGUGGGUUCGAAUCCCACCGAGUCCA
rnacentral:tRNA from 1 species